GAUGAACGCUGACAGAAUGCUUAACACAUGCAAGUCGACUUGAAUUUGGGUUUUUAACUUAGGUUUGGGUGGCGGACGGGUGAGUAACGCGUAAAGAACUUGCCUCACAGCUAGGGACAACAUUUGGAAACGAAUGCUAAUACCUAAUAUUAUGAUAAUAGAGCAUCCUAUAAUUAUGAAAGCUAUAAGCGCUGUGAGAGAGCUUUGCGUCCCAUUAGCUAGUUGGAGAGGUAACGGCUCACCAAGGCGAUGAUGGGUAGCCGGCCUGAGAGGGUGAUCGGCCACAAGGGGACUGAGACACGGCCCUUACUCCUACGGGAGGCAGCAGUGGGGAAUAUUGGACAAUGGACCGAGAGUCUGAUCCAGCAAUUCUGUGUGCACGAUGAAGUUUUUCGGAAUGUAAAGUGCUUUCAGUUGGGAAGAAACAAAUGACGGUACCAACAGAAGAAGUGACGGCUAAAUACGUG
rnacentral:rRNA from 1 species